UCCCAGGGCGCUUUGCACAGACCCUGGUGACCUGAGGCUCCCCGGCUGUCACUCUGUCCCAGGCCUGUCCUGGCCCCGGGGCACAGGCUGAGUCGCAGUAGAGUCUGUGGGGUCCUGACCCUGGCGUCUGGCCGCCCCUGGAAGGC
rnacentral:pre_miRNA from 1 species